UAGGGAAUCUUCCGCAAUGGGCGAAAGCCUGACGGAGCAACGCCGCGUGAGUGAUGAAGGUCUUCGGAUCGUAAAACUCUGUUAUUAGGGAAGAACAAAUGUGUAAGUAACUAUGCACGUCUUGACGGUACCUAAUCAGAAAGCCACGGCUAACUACGUGCCAGCAGCCGCGGUAAUACGUAGGUGGCAAGCGUUAUCCGGAAUUAUUGGGCGUAAAGCGCGCGUAGGCGGUUUUUUAAGUCUGAUGUGAAAGCCCACGGCUCAACCGUGGAGGGUCAUUGGAAACUGGAACACUUGAGUGCAGAAGAGGAAAGUGGAAUUCCAUGUGUAGCGGUGAAAUGCGCAGAGAUAUGGAGGAACACCAGUGGCGAAGGCGACUUUCUGGUCUGUAACUGACGCUGAUGUGCGAAAGCGUGGGGAUCAAACAGG
rnacentral:rRNA from 1 species